rnacentral:misc_RNA from 1 species
CCGAGAACGCGCCCUCUGGGCGCAUCUCCCACCCUUUGUGUACCAUACCUUUGUUGCUUUGGCGGGCCCGUCUCGCGACCGCCGGCUCCCGCUGGCCUGCGCCCGCCAGAGGACCACCAACUCUGAUUAUCAUGCCGUCUGAGUAUUACACAAAUACGUUA